AGGGCCACUGCCGUGGCAUAUGGAGGUUCUCAAGCUAGGGGUCGAAUUGGAGCUGUAGCCACCAGCCUACGCCAGAGCCACAGCAAGGUGGGAUCCAAGCGGCAUCUGCGACCUACACCACAGCUCACAGCAACGCUGGAUCCCCAACCCACUGAGCAAGGGUAGGGAUCGAACCCGAAACUUCAUGGUUCCUAGUCAGAUUCAUUAACCGUUGUGCCACAACGGGAACUCCUGGGAUCCGUUACUCUGUACACUGUAUCUAAGGCCUGGUCAGCAGCAGUGACCACCACGGGGCCAGGACAGCCACCAAAAGGCCAUCGUUGGUGUGGCUUGUCAGAUGGACAGUCUGGACAUACAUGCACGACAGCUGGUGAAGGGGAUGGGCCAGAGGGAGGCAGAGGUCAGCAGGAGGUGAGAGGGGACAGUGGAGGAGGAGGAGGAGGAAUGAAGUCCAGAGAAGCAGAGUUAUCCCCGCCCCUCCCCUCACCCACUCGGCUGGCUGCCUUUAGCCCCCGCUGAAAUUCCUUUCUUUACGUCUCUUCCCUUUGUACAGCCUGCAAGACUCAAGGAAAUUUGCCCAAGCCAUCCAGGAUGCCCGAGCUGCUGGGGUUUGCUUCCAUGGUUCCUGGAAACGUUUCCCUCCUUGGGAACUCCAGCCUCUUCCAGACCCUGCAACCAGGACUCCUAACUGGAGACUGGCCCCAGGAUGGAGGCUCCAGCCCAGGACCCUGAGCAGGCCGACUCCUGGAGAGCUGCCUUGGGACCUCAGGAGAGGCCUGAGGAGAAGCCUAGGCCCUGUACGGAGGACAGAGCUGAGAGACCACCCCCUUGGAGGGGCGGCAGGACAAGUUCCCCUGGGUUGUGUCAUGAGCCCCAGCUCAGGGACCUGACAUUUCAAGGGCAGGCAGGAAUCCUGACACAGACCCCUAGGAAGCCGAGAGGGGCCAGGAGGAGAGGUCCAAAAGGGAGCAAGCCCCUUGGCGGAGGACCCCUCUCUGGGGGGUGAGCUGCAUGAAGGGACAGUGGUCGGGCGGACACCUCUCCUUGGCGGGAGUCCCAGCCCAGGGACCUGAUAUUUCAAGGGAUAAGGCCUUUGGUAGGGGGCCCGCGGUAGCUACAGAACUCACUCCAGGGAGUGACCCUCUGUGCACCCAGAGUGUGAAGUCCUUUCAUGAGAGCUCAAACCUGCUUUAGCAGCAAUGCACCCAUGACCCAUGGUCAUGAAAGGUCCCAAUUCUUCUUUUUUUUUUUUUUUUUUUUUAGGGCCACACCCAGGAUGGAGGUUCCCAGGCUAGGGGUCUAAUCAGAGCUGUAGCCACCGGCCUACACCACAGCCACAGCAAUACUGGAUCCUCAACCCACUGAGCAAGGGCAGGGAUCGAACCCGCAACCUCAUGGGUCCCAGUUGGAAUCAUUUCCACUGCGCCACAAGGGAACUCCAAAAGGUCCCAAUUCUGGGCAGAACCUUUCCGCACCCGUGUGCACCCAUACACCUCUCACCCUUCCUCUGUGGCAACCCUGGCAAGGCCUGCGUGUUCCACGUGCUGAGCCCUCUGAGUGCCCUCAGCCACGGUUCCGACCUCACUGAGCGCGGUAAGCUCCACCAACAGCUUCAACCAGACCCGACACUGUCCCUGGGCAGCAAGAUGGACCCACCGAAGCAGGGCGUUCCGUGUCCAGACACUCGUAGGAUGCCCAAGGGGACAGAGAGUGGGAGCAGACCUUUGGGGCCAUCGCAUGCUGCCUGCUGAGUGCCACACGAGGGCCGCGCGGACUCACAUUAGAUGUGUCUUUGUGGCUAUGGUGGUGGGGCCGUGGGACAGGCGGGCACCCGAUGAGGGCGACAUUGUGAACGCGAGGCCUGACCGCACAUCUCACCCCAAACGAGUGCAGGCUCAGCGUCAACUAUGGUGGUUCUCGAAUGCGCCCGCACAUACUAGACUCUGCCCUGGGGAUGUGACACCCAGAAGCUCGAGCCCCGAGCCGACUCCCAACUCUGGCAAGCGGCCUGCUCACUGGACCUUUCACAGCCGCCCAGAUGGUUCCCAUCCGCGACCCUCCCACGCGCUUCCCGGUCCGAUCGCCAGAAGUCCUUCAGGCGGCGAGGGCUAUCAACCGCGGUCCCGACCAGCUCGCGACUUUUCCGCAUCCGGGCUCCUUCUCCUCCGCCCGCCUCCGUUCCCAAGACAACCGGAGUCCAGC
rnacentral:lncRNA from 1 species